CGCCGCCGUAUUGGGUGCUGGCUAACGAAGCCGAAGCCCCCGUGGGCGAGUGUCACCAACCCGCUUCCGGAUGCAUUCCCCUGUCCUCCAGGGCACGUGAGGGGACGGCCUCACCUUUCCAGGCAAAAGCACACACUCUUGGAUCUAGGAAGAUGUCUUUAAUAACGUAAUUUUUAAGUGCUUAAAAGAACUCUACAGGGAACUCUACACAGUGUCUGAUGGGGAAAGGGACCCGGCCUGCCUCCCUGAGGAGUCCAUCCUGAGACCGAUCUGGAGAAGUUACUCAGAGAUAAGGGAACCGGCACGUGAAACAGCUCAGAAAAGACCCACCAAAACUGGCAAUCUCAGAUGCCUUUUGAGAGAAGACCGGGGCCGGGGGCUGGAGGACCAGAGACUUGCCUUUCACUGUCUGCACUUGCCUGCCUUUUGCAUCCUGCAUCUGGUACUACGUUGCAGUUAUUGAAAGAUAAAUAAAAUCUAAAUCCA